rnacentral:sRNA from 1 species
UAUACUGGAAAUGGGACUAUAUUUGGCGA